rnacentral:rRNA from 1 species
AUGUUUCCAAUGGAGUUAAAUGGUCCUCCACUUGGUCAACCAACAACUCCAGCACCUGUUGAGCAAUCUCAUGCACAAGUGCCCACACAAGAUGACUUUGAUGAUAUAGACAAGCUUACAUUGCUUAGUCUCGAGUUCACUUGGAGUGCUGGAGAUGAUCCAAUUAGGCCGGUGAUACUAGAGGAAAUGAAGAAGAUCAAGAGUGGAAAAGAGCUAGUGGAAGAAGUAAGAAAAAUUGAGAAGAAUAUCAACGCUGGGUGCACUAUCUCAUCCCUCCUUGAGCUGAGUGUUUCUGGGAUAUCCCAGGCGUGUGAGGUUCCAACACCGUCACAUCAAGCUGAGCAAGAUAGCAAGAGCCCAGAUGAAGAGCUACUUCAGAUUGAAGAUGAACUAGAAGACAAGGAACAAGAUGACCAAGAAAUUGACUACCCAAGCGAUCAAGUCGAAGACACAAUCUCUAUCUCUCCUGAAGAAGUACAAGAAGCUGCUGUAGUUGAACUUGAAGAACCAGAAAUUCAUUUUCCUAUCGUCGUACAAGAGCUUGAUCUAGCAGGUUUAUCUAACCCUCUUGAUGACAUGCUUCCUUAUGAGAUCUUUGCUGCUACUUUGCAUUGCGUCAUACCAUCAAUUAAGCUAGACUUGAAAAAUUAUUUGCUUGGACAUGAUCAUACACACCCUAUUAGUGGCAUUGCUCACAUUUGCCGUGAAGACCAUUAUUUUCCUCAUGCUAGACCUAUGCUUAAUGGUAAAUAUCAUCCUCAUGGUAGUAUUGAGCUUACUGAAUUCUACCUUCCUAAACAUGUGCUUUAUAGCUAUGCUUAUGUAAUUGGAUACUCGAUUGAUGACUUGGAGGGUAUUAUCCCUACCGCUUGCAUUGUCCCUUUUGUGGAGUGUUUUUUCAGGUUUUUGCUUGUGCACGAAUUAAUACAUGCUGACCAGGUUCGAGGUGACAUUCCUUGGGACCCCGAUGGACUCAGAGCAUGGUGA